rnacentral:rRNA from 1 species
AAUCUAUAGAAAAGUUUUCCGCGCCGGACCGUGUCUAAGUCCCUUGGAACAGGGGUGUCAGAGAGGGUGAGAAUCCCGUGCUUGAUACGACCACCGGUGCUAUGUGAUACUUUUUCAACCGAGUCGAGUUGUUGGGAAUGCAGCUCAAAAUGGGUGGUAAAUUCCAUCUAAAGCUAAAUAUUGGCGAGAGACCGAUAGCGAACAAGUACCGUGAGGGAAAGAUGAAAAGCACUUUGGAAAGAGAGUUAAAACAGUACGUGAAAAUUGUUUAAAAAGGGAAAACGAUUGAAAGGUCAGUCGUGCUCUCUGGGGGACCUUCCAGGCCCGGGUUUCUUUCCCGGGUUGGUUAUUUUCCCCAAGUGGGAGGCCGGGGUUCAAACCAAUUCCAAGUUUAAAAAUUCGGCCUUGGGAUUAAAGGGUUCCAUUUAGGGAAAUUGGUUGGGGCUUCCCCCUUCCGGGGGAGGUUGGUUAUUAAGCCCCUUAAUUGUUCCGGCCAUUAACAAGUGGGGGUUUUAAAACUUGGAAGGGAAAACCGCCAACUUCCGGCCCUUUAAUUGGGCCCGGGGGGUUUCCGGCCCCCACGGUUCCCGGAACU